rnacentral:rRNA from 1 species
UCUACGGGAGGCAGCAGUGAGGAAUAUUGGUCAAUGGACGAGAGUCUGAACCAGCCAAGUAGCGUGAAGGAUGACUGCCCUAUGGGUUGUAAACUUCUUUUAUAUGGGAAUAAAAUGUUCCACGUGUGGGAUUUUGUAUGUACCAUAUGAAUAAGGAUCGGCUAACUCCGUGCCAGCAGCCGCGGUAAUACGGAGGAUCCGAGCGUUAUCCGGAUUUAUUGGGUUUAAAGGGAGCGUAGGUGGAUUGUUAAGUCAGUUGUGAAAGUUUGCGGCUCAACCGUAAAAUUGCAGUUGAAACUGGCAGUGUUGAGUACAGUAGAGGUGGGCGGAAUUCGUGGUGUAGCGGUGAAAUGCUUAGAUAUCACGAAGAACUCCGAUUGCGAAGGCAGCCCACUGGACUGCAACUGACACUGAGGCUCGAAAGUGUGGGUAUCAAACAGGAUUAGAUACCCUGGUAGUC